GUGGUGUGACUGCGUACCUUUUGUAUAAUGGGUCAGCGACUUAUAUUCUGUAGCAAGGUUAACCGUAUAGGGGAGCCGAAGGGAAACCGAGUCUUAACUGGGCGUUAAGUUGCAGGGUAUAGACCCGAAACCCGGUGAUCUAGCCAUGGGCAGGUUGAAGGUUGGGUAACACUAACUGGAGGACCGAACCGACUAAUGUUGAAAAAUUAGCGGAUGACUUGUGGCUGGGGGUGAAAGGCCAAUCAAACCGGGAGAUAGCUGGUUCUCCCCGAAAGCUAUUUAGGUAGCGCCUCGUGAACUCAUCUUCGGGGGUAGAGCACUGUUUCGGCUAGGGGGCCAUCCCGGCUUACCAACCCGAUGCAAACUACGAAUACCGAAGAAUGUUAUCACGGGAGACACACGGCGGGUGCUAACGUCCGUCGUGAAGAGGGAAACAACCCAGACCGCCAGCUAAGGUCCCAAAGUCAUGGUUAAGUGGGAAACGAUGUGGGAAGGCACAGACAGCCAGGAUGUUGGCUUAGAAGCAGCCAUCAUUUAAAGAAAGCGUAAUAGCUCACUGGUCGAGUCGGCCUGCGCGGAAGAUGUAACGGGGCUAAACCAUGCACCGAAGCUGCGGCAGCGACGCGUAUGCGUUGUUGGGUAGGGGAGCGUUCUGUAAGCCGUUGAAGGUGUGCUGUGAGGCAUGCUGGAGGUAUCAGAAGUGCGAAUGCUGACAUAAGUAACGAUAAAGCGGGUGAAAAGCCCGCUCGCCGGAAGACCAAGGGUUCCUGUCCAACGUUAAUCGGGGCAGGGUGAGUCGACCCCUAAGGCGAGGCCGAAAGGCGUAGUCGAUGGGAAACAGGUUAAUAUUCCUGUACUUGGUGUUACUGCGAAGGGGGGACGGAGAAGGCUAUGUUAGCCGGGCGACGGUUGUCCCGGUUUAAGCAUGUAGGCGGAGGUUCCAGGUAAAUCCGGUACCUUUUAACGCUGAGGUGUGAUGACGAGGCACUACGGUGCUGAAGUAACAAAUGCCCUGCUUCCAGGAAAAGCCUCUAAGCAUCAGGUAACACGAAAUCGUACCCCAAACCGACACAGGUGGUCAGGUAGAGAAUACCAAGGCGCUUGAGAGAACUCGGGUGAAGGAACUAGGCAAAAUGGUGCCGUAACUUCGGGAGAAGGCACGCUGAUAUGUAGGUGAAGCCCCUGCGGGUGGAGCUGAAAUCAGUCGAAGAUACCAGCUGGCUGCAACUGUUUAUUAAAAACACAGCACUGUGCAAACACGAAAGUGGACGUAUACGGUGUGACGCCUGCCCGGUGCCGGAAGGUUAAUUGAUGGGGUUAGCGG
rnacentral:rRNA from 1 species